CAACAACUUCUUAACAAUUAGCCUUAAUAUCCAAUGUGCUUUGAUUUACAACCACAAUUUAAGUGGCAAGACGCCCACAAUCAAUUCAAUUGUCUUGCCACGAUCUGUGGAGCUUAAGACAACGUUAACUAUAGAAUCUUUGGUUAACCUACUCAAGGUUCUGUAUGCUAUUUAAAGCCGACCUAAUGAUGAGUCCCUUCAUGACGGUGUGCUGCAAUGCAUUCUGGGUGUUGUGCUGUGAUUCGACGGCUCGUCACCUGACCCACCAAACAACGAUGCUUGAGAGUAAAAAUAAAUUCGCGCGGGAGCCGUGGAUAGUUAAGCUUAACUUUCUUAACUUUUCCCAUUCAUUCUCUAUGGUAGUUCUUAACACUACGGAUGCAAUAUGCUUUUGUCCACUACGCAUUUUGGCGCUGUUGCGCUGUUGAGCUGCAUUUUAAAAAUAUUGGCAGCCAUCUUUGAAUCAUUUGUUGUGGUCGGCGUUACCGAUGACAGAUAUCGGACUGACUUUUUACUCUCAGAAAGUUGCGUCUGUGUCCCCCUUUAGGUUUGAGCCCUCGUCCUCCCAACUGACCCUGUGGCUCUCCGCUGCAGCAGAACUGGCCCUUGAGUACCGCCAGAAGGGGACCACUACCUAGAAGAUCAAGAGGGUGGACAGGGUGUGCAUGGAGGCAAGGGACACAGUGGCACUGAAAGGAGGCGACCCCAGAGCGUGAAGUGCGCAGGCUGAUGGGUCGGGCGCCGAUACAGCUGUGUGAGCUAAAUCAAAGGGCACUCUCCCAAUGGUCCGUCAGAACACAGAGGGAGACAGAGAGGACUGUGGUGGCACCUUGACCAGGCACUGCAGACGGGCUCAGCAGGGUCGACCCAGAACCCAGUAGCAUCGGCAACGUAUCGUCCAGCAGCAGUGGACCCACAGCCCAGCAGCAGUGGCGGUGUAUCGUCCAACAUUAGCUGACCCAGGGCCCAGCAGCAUCAGCAGUGACAGCAGCGCACCCAGGAUCCAGCAGCAGUGGCGCUGUAUCAGCAGCGGACCCAGAGCCACCAGCAGUGUCAGUGUAUCGCCCAGCAACAGCGGACCCAGGGCCAGCAGUAGUGUCUAACAGGCUUGUGCAAAAUUCCAGAAUGGAAUUGAAACUGGCUCUUAAAUUCCAAUUUAAUUCUUGAAUUUUACUUGCAUUUCAAAUGAGGUAGCAAACAGGAAGCAGAAUUGCAAUUCGAAUUGUGCACAACCCUGGUGUCUAAGUGUAUCGUCCAGAAGCAGCCGACCCACACACACGCACACAGGCACACAGACACACACACACACACACACACACACACACUUUGCCUUCUUCAGCUGGUGUUUAUUUAGUCAUAGUAUGCUGUUCUCCAAUGUUCUGUAAUUUUUUGUAUCACUUAAUAUAAUCCUUAAUAUAGUCUUACCAUGUCAUUGUUUUUUUUAUAGUAGUAUUGUUAUUCUCCUUAUUAUAGUUUGACCAACAUUCUAAUCUGUUCCCUGUUCAAUUUUAAAUAUUAUGUUGUUUAUGUAUGUGUGUGUCACUUUGGACAAAGGCGUCUGCAAAAUCCCAUAACCAUAUCCAUAACUUAAACCUUUAAUUUACCAACUUGUAUUACUUUUUAGAGAUGAUUUUAUCACACACACGCUGUCACGUACACAGGCGCACGCACACCUUCACACGCACACACACACACAGGAUUAGACACACACAUGCACACACACUGCCUCUCACACACACACACACACACACACACACUUUGCCUUCUUCAGCUGGUGUUCAUUUAGUCAUAGUAUGCUGUUCUCCAAUGUUCUGUAAUUUUUUGUAUCACUUAAUAUAAUCCUUAAUAUAGUCUUACCAUGUCAUUGUUUUUUUUAUAUUAUUGAUGGAAUGGACAUUAUUGUUUAUUUUCGCUUUUUCCCUCAUUUUCAUUACUUAUUUUAUUA